ACCUGUGUGUCUGAGGUUAAACGAAAAAAAGUAAUUAAGAAUGUUAUUUUUUGGUCAUUUGGAUUUAUUUUUAAUGUAUUUGUCAAAGCUAAUAUGAGAUUUAGCAUCUACUGCUGGCCUACGCCUGUUCUGGUUGGUGCUCCGGAGUCUCAGCAGGUUGGACUCGCACGAUGACGCGUUUGGCACCGUCCGAUCAGUCUGCGGCGCUCUCCGUCAUCGGACCGACACUUUCCCGUGCGAAAUUUGCACACGCGGGGACGAAGACACGGAUGCGUCUCCGUCCGCCGUCUGUGUCAUCCAAUGGGGCCCUGGAACCCGCCACGAUCGCAGCAGGAGAUCCAUUUGUCAAACAGAUUGGGGUCAAGAGCACUGGAGAGGGGAGAAAGUCGACCUCAAAAGGUGCACAGAUGACACCGCUCCCUUUCCAAACAUGUGGAAAUGAACGUGCGACCUGGAAAUGAACGUGCGAGUACAGCCUGCGAGCCUUGGGGGCCCACAAGGAUCAAUCCUGCUUUGGAGCCGAAUCCGAUGCCACUUUUCUGCAGACUGGGCGAUUUCAAACGGCGUUUCAAGCGUCCGUCAGUGGCGGUCGAUCCCGGAGUGAUGACAGUCAACCGUUGACCUCUAACGUUUGUCAUCGUUUUCUUUUUCACGACCCCGCUGACCAUCAACCGAUCAGUCUCCUCGGGCCACGGCUGACUCCCAAGACAAAGCCAGCACACUCACACGACUCCAAUUAUUAUAUCAGGUCUCCGCUUUUCAGGCUUAGAAGGAUGUUUUUGUGUUUGUUUGAGAAAUUAUGGGCGUCCGGUCUGCAAGGGGGAAGGGGGGGGGGGGGGCAACAUUACCUGGGUUACAAAAUAGAGCAAUCACAAUGCUUUCACAAUGCUUUUUGUCUCUCUUUUCACGUACCAGUAGCGCGCGGUGCAACCUGACCCUCCGACUCUUUUAGCGUUGUGUUUACCUAAACGUCUCUGAGGGACAGGCCGCGGCGAUUAUUGAGUGGACAUCCUUUCAACGUUCCACUCAGCAGCAGGAUUCCCAUGCAGUCAAAAGCAUUGUUCUUACACAGGCAGCAGCUUAGACACACAACUCACACCAGACUGUCCUUUGUGUAUUUUUUGUCUGUUUGUUCUUUAUCCGUGUAAAAGUUCUUUGUUUCUAAAAUAAAAAAGAAGUCAGUUGUUGAACUGAAAUUGGCUCUUCUCUGAGGUCCCACCAAAGAUUGUGGUUCCAUGCAUCACCUCGGGGGUUGCUUUUAAGAACUCGGGAUGUCGUCGACGCAAACCGAGUUUGAUUUUUGUCCCUUU
rnacentral:lncRNA from 1 species